AUUGAACGCUGGCGGCAGGCUUAACACAUGCCAGUCGAGCGAGCGUCGGACGGGUGAGUAAUGUCUGGGAAACUGCCUGAUGGAGGGGGAUAACUACUGGAAACGGUCGCUAAUACCGCAUUCCAUCCUAUGUGCCCAUAUGGGAUUAGCUAGUAGGUGGGGUAAUGGCUAACCUAGGCGACGCUCCCUAGGUGGUCUGAGAGGAUGACCAGCGAGACUGGAACUGAGAGACGGACGAGACUAGUACGGGAGGCAGCAGUGGGGAAUAGUGCACAAUGGGCGCAAGCCUGAUGCAGCCAUGCCGCGUGUGUGAAGAAGGCGUUCGGGUUGUAAAGAACGUUCAGCGAGGAGGCGUUACUCGCAGAAGAAGCAACGGCUAACUCCGUGCCAGCAGCAGCGGUAAUUC
rnacentral:rRNA from 1 species